GCGGCGUGCUAAUACAUGCAAGUAGAACGCUGAAGGAGGAGCUUGCUCUUCUGGAUGAGUUGCGAACGGGUGAGUAACGCGUAGGUAACCUGCCUGGUAGCGGGGGAUAACUAUUGGAAACGAUAGUUAAUACCGCAUAACAGUCGACAUUGCAUGAUGUUGAUUUAAAAGGGGCAAUUGCUCCACUACCAGAUGGACCUGCGUUGUAUUAGCUAGUUGGUGAGGUAACGGCUCACCAAGGCGACGAUACAUAGCCGACCUGAGAGGGUGAUCGGCCACACUGGGACUGAGACACGGCCCAGACUCCUACGGGAGGCAGCAGUAGGGAAUCUUCGGCAAUGGACGGAAGUCUGACCGAGCAACGCCGCGUGAGUGAAGAAGGUUUUCGGAUCGUAAAGCUCUGUUGUAAGAGAAGAACGAGUGUGAGAGUGGAAAGUUCACACUGUGACGGUAACUUACCAGAAAGGGACGGCUAACUACGUGCCAGCAGCCGCGGUAAUACGUAGGUCCCGAGCGUUAUCCGGAUUUAUUGGGCGUAAAGCGAGCGCAGGCGGUUAGAUAAGUCUGAAGUUAAAGGCUGUGGCUUAACCAUAGUACGCUUUGGAAACUGUUUAACUUGAGUGCAGAAGGGGAGAGUGGAAUUCCAUGUGUAGCGGUGAAAUGCGUAGAUAUAUGGAGGAACACCGGUGGCGAAAGCGGCUCUCUGGUCUGUAACUGACGCUGAGGCUCGAAAGCGUGGGGAGCAAACAGGAUUAGAUAUCCUGGUAGUCCACGCCGUAAACGAUGAGUGCUAGGUGUUGGGUCCUUUGCCGGGACUCAGUGCCGCAGCUAACGCAUUAAGCACUC
rnacentral:rRNA from 1 species